AACCUGAACUGUGUAUAAUGUUGGUUUAAAAUAGAGACCUUUCAGACUUGCUACAGUAAUGGAAGGGUUCAAGCUGUGUUAAAAAGGGUGAAAGCACAAGAUUUUAUUUGCUAUUAAGGUGAUUGCAGAAGUGGUGAAAACAGAUAAAAAGUAAAAACUCUAAGUGGUAGAGCUGUUGGUGUGUAUUGAACAGGAAGGAGUACUGGUGAUUUAUAAAGAAAAGUCACUAUGAAGAGUUGUUUACUUCACAUCAACUUGAAGAUUUGCAGUUUUGAGACUGCAACUUUCUUCAAAAAAACUAUUAUUUUGUGCAGAAAGUAGUGGUGGAAAUGUGUGUUUGGCUUAGUAUUUGGUUUUUCAUGUUGCCUGAGACUCAGCAAAACAAGUGGUUGGUGAGAUAUCGAAGGCCUUGAUUACACUAUUUUGAUUUGGUAUUAUUUUACUUCCUCUCCUGUCCUGAUUUUUAAGGCCUGAAAGGUGCUUGACUGUCAAGAUGUUGUCUUGACUGCCGUAAUUAAUCUGUUUUGUAGCAACCAGACUGCUAGCCCCAAGUAGGAAAUGUAUGAGAUGAUGCUGGUGCCUAAGUUCAAUCAAGCAUCUCACGGUGGGUGCCUUAGUUCUGAGAGCUUCAGCAGAGGUACCAUUUUGCUUCAUUAUGUACAUAAACAGACUCCUGGAGUGAAUGGCCCUGCCCAUCUUUUGACAGUGUCUUUGCUGACAGGUGGAUGUUCUGUAUCGUUGGGUCUGAAGACAGCAAAGACCAUCAAGGAGUGUUGCGAGAGGUAUUCAUUGGACUUCAGUUAAGAAAACUCAGCGUCUGCUCUCAGUGGGAUUGAUUAUUUGCCAUGUGUUUUUAGUCCAGGGACCAGAUCUCCUUCACAAACCUGAAGAUCAUGAAAGAGUUUAAUUUAUAAAGCCAUAGUUAAAGAUGAUGGUUUACAGCGUUGUUCAAUUGAAUCAAAACUUCCACAAGAAGGUGCCUCAAAGAAGAGACAAUCACAGCAUUGAUUUUUCAGGGUUCUCCUGUUUUCAUGCUUUAAACAAGCACUAUCUCAUAUGUACAGGAAGGCUGGAGAUGUGCAGCGCAUCAACAUUACAAAGAGCCAACAAAACUGACUGCUUGUGGAGGUAAAAUAAAAUACUAGAGUUACAGUAUCCCCAGUAAGAUGAAUCAUCUAUUCUUUGCUUUUAAAUAUGUGCUUCAUGGACAACAAAAAAAAACCCUUGAAACCAAUCCUUUCAUCAUCUGAAGCAUAUUUUUUCACUGACAUAUCACAACAAGAGGAAGUGCCAUGGUUAAGAGAUUACACCUUUGUCAUAUCCAAGGAAGGAUCAAAAGCAAGUUACUGUUCCUUCUGUCUUUCUCCCAAGCUAGAACAUUCUGUUUUCAGUAUAAUGUGCAGAAAUCUGUUUCUUUCAGCUUAUAAAAUAGACAUCUCUGGUAUAUGAAUCAAACAACCAAAGGCACCACUAUUUCUCCUAGCAGAAAGUAAUGACUGUGAGAAGAAAGCUCAUUAUUAAUUACCUAAAAGAAUGGCUUUCUGAAUGGAAAAACCAAAGAGUAACUUCAGAGAUCUGAGUCAACUUCAACAUUUUUUGAUCUAUGGCUAUGUCUGCAUUCUCAAGUGUAAGGGAGAGUGUAGAGCAAACAGUGGUGAGGACUGAGUCAGAGCUCUGAUUUUAUGUUGAAUUCUUUUUUUUCUUCUAUAUUUGGGCUUCCAUUACCUAUUUUGAUUCUAUUUAUAUAUUAUGGACUAACUGUGCAUUAGCAGUUGGAGAGCAUUAGUUGUGCUCUUGGAACAAAGCUUACAAUUUAGUCUUACCCAGAAGAAAUGCAGUUCAUGCACUCUGUGACUCCCUUCAUGAAGUCGUUUACCAAAAAAUGGUAAUGCAAGAGGACCCAUUGACUUCUGCAGAGAGGAGUCACUUCUUUCUCCUCCACAGACUAGGUCCUGCACAGAUCAAUCCUUCCCACAACUGCAACCACAGUAAUGAGCAAUUUCUACAAAUGGUGCAGAAACUGAGUGUGAUAGCUCAGACUGGAAGAGCCAGUGUCCUCUCUUUAAGGCAGAUACAGAACUGAAGAAAUGAUGAAGUGUGGUGAUCAACACUAAUGCAUUUCACAAAUGAUAUACAGCCUGAUGAAAUGACUUCUUGUGGUCAACUGGUCUUAGCUUCUGCUGUAUGCACUACAGUUCACCCUGAUCUCAUCAUAAUCUCUUUUUGAGCAGGAACAUACUGGAAGGCAACUUGAGCAGAACAUCUGAUCAUCUAUUUGAUUUCUAUGACUGCUAGUAUGUUUUAUAAAUCCCACAUCAUGAGAAGAAAAAGUUGUGAAUGCCUUGUAUCAUUCCACACCCAUUGGUUCACAAUUGAGUCUUCUGGGAUACAUUGUAGAAUAAUAACAUAAAUUAUAGUCUUGCACUGUAAUGUGCUUUUUCUAAAUAAUCUCUUCUCUGAGCUGUUCUCUGUAUUUUCCAAUGUUAUAUCAACCAGAAAAAAGAAUUUUUUUUUUUGCCGUAUCGUAAUCUUACAUGCAAGCACUAUUUUUUUUAAGUGAGGCCUAAGCAUCAGCUCUAAUUGACAACAAAAAUGAAAAUUCUCAAUUAAAAACUUUCCACAGUAUUGAUUUCCUGAAGCAGGAGAGUACACUUUGUAAAGGGCCAUUUGUUGUGUUGAAUAUUUUUUGUGCAUUUCCCAGGAGAAUUGACAACCAGCAUCUGGUACAGAUAUGAGGCUAUUAAAGGUAGCUUGAAACUAGUACUUAGCAGUCUUCUCCCACUCCAAUAAUAAUCAAUCUUUUUAAUGAACUGCAGUGUUAAUUGGCUGAACCUUCAGCUGGAAAUGCAUUUGUAAAACAUACUGUGACUAUAUACCAAAUGAAAAUUUAGCUUUUUGACUUAUUUAUAUUUCAUCAUCAAAUUCAAAAUUUCCCUAAAUCACUGCUUAUUUGACUCCACUGGACUCCGCUCAGUAAAAAGGCCACUUACAGUGGCACUGUCCCGCAUCCUUCUCUGUAGAGAGACAUGGAUUUGAAGAAUGGACCUCUCGGUGGAUAAGGAACUGACUGGGUGGCCACAGUCAAUGGCUUGAUGUCCAAGUGAAGGCCAGUGAGGAGUGGUGUUCCUUGGGCUGCCACUUUUCAACAUCUUUGGUGGCAUGGGCAGUGCUCCCUCAGCAAGUUUGCUGACAACAGCAAGCUGUGUUGUGCAGUUGACAUUCACCUUCCAGUAUCUAAAGGGUACAAGAAACCCAGAGAGGUCCUUUUCGCAAAGCAUGUAGUGACAGGACUAGGAUAGAUGGUUUUAAACUGAAAGAGGAUAGGUUUAUAUCAGGAAUUAGGCUGCGGGGUUCCUGGAGGCUCAUUCAUUCAUACUGAGCUAUAUUUCUGGCCAGAUUGUAGCUCCAUAAGAAAUUGUUAUAUCCCACACCAGCAGCUGGUUUUCCACCAUUCAUUCCCAGGGCACUAGUAAGAUAUGAGGGUGUCUUUCAGAGUGUAAUAAUAACUUGGGUCUAGAUAAGCAAGACCUUCAGCAUCUGAAUGUGGAGCAAGACCCUUGGUUUUCUGAAACUGCUGACAGCCACCUCGCAUUAGUGUAGUGGAAUAGCCCCAUGACAAGGAGCCCGUUGGUGACUGACAUGCUGUCACUGCUUGUGUCCACUCCCCCAUAUCUGUGCAUUAACCUCUGCUGUCUCCUUAUCCACAUUGUCAGCUGCCUCUUGAGAAUAUAGCUUCUGCAGCAUUUCAUAUAUCAUUUUCAAACCACCUCUUUUAUCUAUAGCUAAAGGAAGGAGUAUGCAGAGAGCAAAAUUAAUUAGUUUAUGGUCUUAAUCUACCUCUCUCCAGAGAGUCGGCACAGACAGUCAAAUUUGUAUCUCCAUUCACAUCAUGUGAGCUGGUUUAUCAGAUUACAUGUUCUUUUAUAUUUAAAUGCCAUGAAGACAAUAUUUAUGAUCAAAUUUUAGUAGAAGGAAGUCCUUGCAGUGCAUCACCUCUGUGUUUGGAGCAGCAUACAGCUCAGUUUGAAAUAAGACAAUAUGUCUUAAGUAGAAGAGAAAGCUAGAAUACACUGGAGAAGGCCUGAAAGAAUAAAUUUCCUUAGUGUUAUGCUCAAUAAAGACACAGAGCCUCAACUGUGAUAUGAAAAAGCCAAAGAAAAACUGGACUAUCAUGCUAUGCAUUAAUCAAACAUGCCCUAAAUUGUAGCAGUCCCAAAGAUGUAAAGAAUGUGUCCUGUUACUACCCACUUUGAUAAGUUUAUUAGAGAAUUAAAAUUAAUGUUCUGUUAUUGUCAUAUGACUCCUGGGGCAUGCAGUCCCCAAAGUAGUGUGGAUCUCUCAUGAAACUGGGAAAACUGUGAGUGCACUGGGGAAAAGGAUCAGACUCUGAUGUGAAUGUGUGUCAUGUCUCCCAUGGCCGGUUGCUUGAGGAAAAGAAAAAGGCAUUUUGCUACAACAAGGAAAACCAGAGAUUUUUCUUCAUUAAGCCCCAAAUUUCUGCUAAUACACACGCUUGCUAACCCCUCCCAGAACCUCUGUGUGACAGUGAGCACACUGAACAUGGCAGCUUGCCUGAAUUUAGCUGUCAGACAUGUUUCUACUUUUAUGCCUUCUGCGUUUUCUUCUUGCAGCCUUUGUCAUCAACAUGAUAAUAGUGUAAACCUGCUCUUAACAGAAUUUUUUCCCCGUUCUGUUAAAUCUGAAAUGAAAGUGGGGAUUAUAUGGCUCCAACACAGUUAUUAAACUAGGACUAGAGAGCAACAUCAAUCUUCAGAUGAAGUUUUGAUAGGGAAUAGACGACUGCUGCAUAAGAAUAAUACCUGCUGAUAAAAGACCUGGGGAGUUUGUGAACAGCUAAAGACUGCUUGUAGCUGCUUUUUAAGCACAUCUGGAGUCAAUAUUUAGCAGGAAACAUACACAUGGCAGUCAUAAUAGCCCACAUUAAGCCCAUCAGCCAGCCUGGCCGACAUUGGGCAUAAGAAGGAGAGAUGAUUGCUCUUCAGAAAUGCAGGGGCCUCUCUUGUGGUAGCUGCUCUGCAGCAAAGCACAGAGAGAAACUGCUGCUUUCCUAUUGGUAACAAAUUCUUCCCAAGACUUAGGAUGCCAAUAGGCAAGUCCAAAUCCAAAAGUGCAUUCACCCAGGAAGAGAGUACAUAUGACAAAAGUUUCUAACAUUCAGUCAAGUUUACGACAUUUUAAACAUGCUCUGAUUGUUUGGUAAUUGCAAAAAGAUGACUUUAAAGUUUUUAUUAACCUGUGUUUACAAGCUUUUGCUGCUUGACAUAAAUAUAAGAUGUCAAUUUGAACAUUUCAGACCUUUCAUUUUCCUAGUGUUAUAUCCCAUGAAUGACUCCUGUGCUUGGUCACUGACAUUUUAUCAUUUUUAUGGUACUUGAUUCUAUCUUACAGAAUAGCAUUAUAUCAACUUUCUCUACAAACUUAUUAGGAAACUUACAAAAGUAAAUAUUUUUUAUAUUAUAAUCAUAUUCUGCAUGUAUUUUUUUAUUUUAUAGUUCAGUAAUAGUUCUUUAAUUGCAUCUUGGAAAAUUUUAUAGAGAAAUUAGUUACUGUUUUAAUAAAGAUGUUGCAAUGUUUGAAACUUGUCUCUACAGGAAUGAUAAUAAUACCAUCUGUCCUCUGGUUUUUGAGAGAUAAUAAAAAGAUAAUUUAAUUGAAGUUGGACCACAGAUUUAUACAGCAGAAGUAAUUUCAGAAGAAAUUAGACCUAGCAGGAUCCUCUUUUCAGGAGAAAACAUUAAUUUCAUCAGAAAAUAUCACUUUAUGAAAAAGUACUUGUGAAGAGAAAAAAAACCCCUUGCAUAUUUUUCGCAUCAAUAUUUUGACAGAGCUUCAUCUUUCUAACCCAUAUGUCUUGUAUUUCAACUCAAAGUAUUUUAUUUAAAUGCAAACUAAUUAUGCUUUAUUCAUAUUUAAUUGUACUGCAAAUCUCU